rnacentral:lncRNA from 1 species
GCGUGCUAGCCAAUCACUCUACCAACCGAGCUAAAAUCCCAGCCUGUUAUAAAAGAAAGAAACGGAAUAUGGAGGGAAUUAAAAUGAGGGCAUGCAUGAACAUCGUCCCCCAAGCGCUGCCUCAGCAUCUCAGGUCUCCACCGGAGCUGCCUGCCCUUAACCACGGAGGAGCUGGGAGCUGUCACCUUUAAGGGGAACCAGCUCUUCACGCAGCACAGCUAAAGAUAAAAGGACCUCAUCACAGAUGUGUCUGCACCACGCUUGGGUGUCUCUGGCUGUCAGCUCUCCAGUGCCAAACAGAAGUGUCCCACUGCCAUCCCUAAAGCCCUCGGAAUGAAGAACAAACUGCCCACCCAACAUCUGCUUCUAGGAGAGGUGUGUAGGCUGAGCUCUACUGGCAAGAGCUGUGUGACCCCAGGCAAGUCACUUGACCUCUCUGAGCUGGCAUUCUCAUCUGGAAAGCUGGCAUAACACUCCAUCUUCUCUAAGAUGCUGCGAGGAACGAAAAUAUGUAUCUGCUGUGCCCAUCUCAGCAUUUCAAGGUACUCAGGAUGCUGGGCGUGGUGGCACUGAGGCAGGUGGAUCUCUGAGUUCAAGGCCAGCCUGGUCUACAGAGUGAGUUCCAGGGCAGCCAGUGUCGCAAGGGAGGCUUGCAAGCCACAGGACCUCUGAAAGUGCAGUCAGUGCUCUUACCCACUGAGCCAUCUCACUGGCUUCCCUAUGUUGAUUUUUAACGUGCAGGCUGAACAAAGCCAUCUUGCAGACUGGUAUACACUGUAGCAAGGCUUGAAUGCUGGGAUACAGGGG